UGCCUUUUGGGGUUGAUAAAGGAACUGUCAUUAGAAUUUUCCUCUUGUAUGCAGUUACAGACCAUUCAUCUUGUCCAGGUGGGGUUAAAGAAUGGAUUUUCAGGAUCAUUCUUAGACUUCUUUUCUGAAUAAUUUCCAGGUCUUCAUCUCUUUUUUCACUUUCCUCUUCCAGGAGCAGACCUAUAAUUGAAGCUGUUCGUAGCUGGCUAACAGACCUGCAGAGGUACAACUGUGAAGGUUUUGGCUGGGGUGGAGCUGAUUUUCCUCAGAGUAGCCCCGGGGAGUUAGCAAGCGGCUUAGCGGGAGCUGCCAGCUGGGGAUAAACCACAGCACUGCUGCACUUGCUCCACAGGUUCUGCAAGGGGUGACUGGCAUGUGUAUUCACUGGCAAGAAUAAACAGUGUUGCCAGGCCAUUUGCAUGGCCCACAGAACCUCCACGCUGAAAUAUGAUAAACAAGGAAGGGUGAGAGCUUGCUACUCAAAACAUACCCUUAUUUCUCUCGGGCAAUGCCAUGCCAACCUUGCUACGCUGCUCAGUGAGCAGGUGCUCUGGGCUCUUUUGCUCUUUCAGAAAUAUCUGUCAAGACCAAGCUGAAUUUCCUUGGCUUCUGGGGUUCUCCAACUAAGUGCUUUGAGAGGCGGCGUUGGCAGUGGAUCUUCAUCCUUCAGACAGAUCCAGAGGAGAAUUCAUUGCUGGGUCGUUAACUGACGAUUAAAGAAUGAAAGUGGUAACUUGACAACACUUCCAAGUGGCUGGAAAUGCAUGUUUACCUAAUGGAAAUCGUUAUCAGGACUCCCUUCUCAGAUAAGAUCUGGGCAUUACUGUGAAGAGGCAGGAAGGUUUAUCUCUGACCAUGGGAAGCUGACAGCUCUCAUGCUGCGUAUUUUAACAGUUGCCUGUCAGCACCAACCUCUGCCAUUUGAUUGUCACUUCAAUGAGUAAGAUCUGUCAAACUGAACACAAAGAACAAUGUUUCUUAUGGUGGAAACAUUUAGAGUUUAUUUCUCUUUUAUUGUAUUGUAUUAGUUUGCAUCAUUCAGACUGAUUACUUACAUGAAAGGAUGAUACAGGUAUGAAAUACGGGAUUAUUCCAGCUAGAUCAAUUACAAGUAAAGCAGGAUGGAAUUAUUUUUCAGCAUGAGGCAAUUUCAGCCAUUUAAAGAUAACUGUGCAUCCUAGAUAAAUGAAAUGGAGCUAUGUAAUUAUCAUUCUCAAAAAGGUGCAGAGCCCACUCUAUUUUGCAAACUGUCAGAGUGCUGUAAAAGUAUCACAAGCUAAAAAAUAUCACCAUGCAAAAGAGCUCACUGUCUCUCAUCAGAUAGUGAAAACAAUUUGCCUGCAGGAGUUACUUUGAAAUAUUAACUUGAAUCCUAAACCAGGCAGCUAACAACAGGGUGUACUGACUAAUCCUGAAAAGGAGAUAAAAAUGUCUUCACUGUUUUAUUUCAACCUAUUGCAUUGGAUAUUUGAGAUUAAAUAGACGUCCAAGCUAAGACCACAAAAAUUGCCUGCUCUUUAUUCUUCUGCUUCCCCCUUCAUCAGACACACACCCUAACCCCCAAUGAAUGCUGUAAGAUGUCAUUAAAUUUUCUUUCCCAUCACAUAAUGGAAUGUCUCAUAGUGUACAUUGGCACAAAAUGGACUAAGGAAUAAGUGGUCAUUUAAUAGUUUUCAGUGCUUUCAAAUCUGAGAAAAAUAGUAGUUAGAUGAGGCUAGAUUCCACAGUCUUUGCACAUGAUGAGUAUUAUUGCUUUAUGAAUAACUUCUUUGAUGGUUGUGAGAAUUAUCUGUGUUCUUUUCACAGCUAAAUCUGUUAUUAGGCCUUCUGCUGCUGUCAGGUCUUACCCUGACACACAUUUUAGCACAUAAUUAAUGCUAUCACAGCUAGUGUGAUUUUUUUUAAAUCCUUGAUAUUUUGUAAGUUUUGUUGGUCCGGGAUGAGAUAUCGGUGUUUCAUGGGUAUUCUGUAUUCUGUAGCUGAUAUUUCCCAGACAAGUGUAAAUCAGGAUGCAAAUACUGAUUCCCCCCCAGAUAGACAUGGUCCUCUAACCAAGGCAGGUUUCAAAUUGCAUCUCAUAAACCUAUAUAUAUUA